rnacentral:piRNA from 1 species
UUUUACUUUUGAAGAUAAUUA